GGGAGGGGAGAGCUGGAGAGAUUGCUAAUGGGUAUAGGGUUUCCUUUUUGGGUGAUGUAAAUGUUCUGGAAUUAGAUAGGGGUGAUUGAUGCACACCCCUUUGAAUAAAAACUACUGAAUUGUACACUUUAAAGUAAGGGUGAACUUUAUGGUAUAUGAAUCCUAUCUUAAUAAAGCUGCUAUU